GCAGAGGGCCGGAUGGCCGCGGGGGCUUUGGCCCGCGAGGAAAGUCCGGACUCCACAAGGCAACGGUGCCGGGUAACGCCCGGCCGGAGCGAUCCGAGGGAAAGCGCCACAGAAAACAGACCGCCUUUCAUGUCCCUCGCGGGACAUGAUGGGUAAGGGUGAAACGGUGGGGUAAGAGCCCACCGCGCUUCUGGCAACAGCGGCGGCACGGCAAGCCCCACCGGGAGCAAUGCCAAAUAGGGACCGCGCGUGAGCGAUCACAGGGGCGCCUUGCCCCGAGCAGGUCCGGGUUGGCAGCUAGAGGGCAUCCGGUAACGGGUGCCCAAGAUGAAUGGUCAUCGGCGGCGGGGCGACCCGCCGUGACAGAAUCCGGCUUACAGGCCCUCUGCGCGU
rnacentral:RNase_P_RNA from 1 species